rnacentral:rRNA from 1 species
UACGGAGGGGGCUAGCGUUGUUCGGAAUUACUGGGCGUAAAAGCGCACGUAGGCGGCUUUGUAAGUUAGAGGUGAAAGCCCAGGGGCUACCAUCGGAAUUGCCUUUAAGACUGCAUCGCUAGAAUGUGGAGAGGUGAGUGGAAUUCCGAGUGUAGAGGUGAAAUUCGUAGAUAUUCGGAAGAACACCAGUGGCGGAAGGCGACUCACUGGACACGUAUUGACGCUGAGGUGCGAAAGCGUGGGGGAGCAAACAGG